AAAGAGGUGGCCGAUUGAAAAGCGUUACACUGUAACUGUAAAAAUGAGAUUUCCAUCUCCCUCUUUA
rnacentral:tRNA from 1 species